rnacentral:rRNA from 1 species
UACGUAGGGGGCAAGCGUUGUCCGGAAUCAUUGGGCGUAAAGAGCGUGUAGGCGGCCAGAAAAGUCCGCUGUGAAAACUCGAGGCUCAACUUCGAGCUGUCGGUGGAAACUUUCUGGCUAGAGUCCGGAAGAGGAGAAUGGAAUUCCUGGUGUAGCGGUGAAAUGCGUAGAUAUCAGGAGGAACACCGAUGGCGAAGGCGGGUCUCUGGGCAAUUCCUGACGCUGAGGCGCGAAAGCGUGGGGAGCAAACGGG